UCGGUUUGUAGUACAGAUUUUUGAAAGCAAUUUGAGUCAAGCGAUUCUCCGUCUUAGCGAUAUCUUCAGAUACCCCUUCUUCAGCGAAAUUUCUUCUUUUAGCGCCCCAUAAUUUCUCACUAAAAAAACAGACCUCUUUCGCCAUUAUGGCGGCCUAAAAAAACAGAAAGGAAAUUUCUAUGUCUACUAAAAUGACAGGUUCAGUAAAAUGGUUCGACGCGGGUAAAGGUUUUGGUUUUAUUUCUCCGGCUGACGGCAGCAAAGACGUGUUCGUGCACUUCUCUGCCAUCCAGAGCAAUGAUUUCAAAACCCUGGAAGAAAACCAGCAGGUUGAAUUCAGCAUCGAACAAGGGAUGAAAGGCCCAUCAGCCGCGAACGUCGUCGCGCUGUAAGCUAA
rnacentral:sRNA from 1 species